rnacentral:lncRNA from 1 species
UGGAUUGCGAAAAACAAAGAUUUCACCAAAUAAAUUAAAGUUAGAUAUUCUUAUGAAUAUCCUUUUCAUAUUGAUUACAAAUUUUAUUAAGUUUGAUACAGACAUUUCUUAGUCAAAGUGUUUUAACUUGGGUACAACACAGACAUCAAAAGGGGUCAUUAUGGAGUAAAGGGGGUGGCGUUAAAAGGUGUCAGUAUGGAGGAA